UUCUGCCCCCCAGCCGCCGCCCACCAUGUCCUAGCAGGUGGCGAUCUUCUCCCUCCCACAACAAAACACACAGAGUGAAAGAAAAAAGGGAGAAAAAGGUUGUGGAAAACACACACACCGUGAGAAGAGCGCAGCCUUGCCUGCAACUCUUUUAUGCUGAUCAGGCAACAACCUGAAGAAAACGUGGGCAAAAUAAUCUCCAAGACUGGGCAAAAUCUCCCCAAGUAAACUACCAGCAAAAGAUGGCCGGCCUUGAUCUCAUUGAGCUCCCCGACGACUUUGUUGACUAUGAUGGUGAUCCCCUGUUCUGCACACAAGCCCAACCUGAAAAAAUCCCUAUUUCGAUCGAGGGGGUGGGCGAGUCGCCAGAUUUGUGUUCUGCUCCUGUCCAAGAUGUCGUAGGUGUGGGGUUUCGUGUUGCGGCUACUGUUGUGUCUGAUGCGACGGCAACUGCUGAAACUAUCGUGCCCGCCCCUGCCAUGUCCCGGCUGCAACUAUGCCUAGCAAUGGUGGACAAGGUCGUACGGGUAGUGCUGCCUUGUUAGGUUUUGAUGAGAACGAGGUGCGAUCUAGCCCACAGGAACCUUAUGUCGGCAUGGAGUUUGACACAGUUGAAGGUGCUAAGGCACACUACAAAGCUUACUCUCGCAGAAUUGGGUUCUCGAUGAAAGCCAACACUUCCAGAAGGUCUUCGUACACUAAUGUCCUUGAGAAGCAGACUUUUUGUUGCAACAAGUCAGGGAGGCCUAAAAUCAAUGAUGAUGCCCCCACACCCGUGUUUGAGAGACUAAGCUCAGAUUCUGAUGGUUGUGGCGAUGGGCAAGAUGUUGGGAGUAAGAAAGCAGGGUGUAGCUCUUAUAAAUCUCCAGGGGGCUUGUUAAGAAGAGGAGGAGAGAGUUUAUCAAACAGACUGGUUGUCGAGCAAAAAUGACAGUCAAGCUGACUAAUAACAAAUGGGUGGUCACAGGUGUUGUUGCAGACCACAAUCAUAGACUGAUUGACAAGCCAUCUCUCACUAAAUACCUCCGCUCUCACCAAGGCAUCCCGCCGGAAGAGGUUGAGUUCCUGGAACAUAGGUGCAACAUGGACACAGGUCGCAUGAUGACGGUUAUGUUUGAAUUCUGUGGCCAAGCUGCAAUUGUUCCGUACACGACGAAAACGAUAAGCAACAUGAGAACUAGCCUUCGCAGUGCUGAGGCAAAUGAAGGUGACUUGGCUGAGAUAGUUGCCUACUUCGAGCAAAAGCAGGAAGAAGACACAGGCUUCUUCUUCAAAAUCAAAAGAGAUGGAAUAGGCAGAGCUGAGAAUUUGUUUUGGGUUGAUGGGAGGGCUUGAGAGGCCUACUUAAAAGCUUACAAUGAUUGUAUCUCUUUUGACAUGGCCUACUUGAUGAAUAUGUAUAACAUGCCCUUUGCUC